UACGAAGGGGGCUAGCGUUGCUCGGAAUCACUGGGCGUAAAGGGCGCGUAGGCGGCAGACCAAGUCGGCGGUGAAAGCGCCCGGCUCAACUGGGCGAGGUCCGUGGAAACUGGUCAGCUGGAGGACGGUAGAGGCGAGUGGAAUUCCCGGUGUAGUGGUGAAAUGCGUAGAGAUCGGGAGGAACACCUGUGGCGAAGGCGGCUCGCUGGGCCGGUCCUGACGCUGAGACGCGAAGGCGUCGGGGAGCGAACGGG
rnacentral:rRNA from 1 species